GGGCGUAGCUCAGUUGGUAGAGCAUCAGCUUCCCAAGCUGAGGGUCGCCGGUUCGAGUCCGGUCGCC
rnacentral:tRNA from 1 species